UACGUAGGGUGCAAGCGUUAAUCGGAAUUACUGGGCGUAAAGCGUGCGCAGGCGGUUAUGUAAGACAGGUGUGAAAUCCCCGGGCUUAACCUGGGAACUGCAUUUGUGACUGCAUAGCUAGAGUACGGUAGAGGGGAUGGAAUUCCGCGUGUAGCAGUGAAAUGCGUAGAUAUGCGGAGGAACACCGAUGGCGAAGGCAAUCCCCUGGACCUGUACUGACGCUCAUGCACGAAAGACGUGGGGAGCAA
rnacentral:rRNA from 1 species